rnacentral:rRNA from 1 species
AUGGAAGGCCAGCCUCGGCCACCCAGCCGCGCUGUCCAGCUGGACUCUGGCCACGCCGGUCUGCUCCUCCUGGCUCGGCGUGGCCUGCGACGACGCCGGCCGCGUCACGUCGCUCAGGCUCCGGGGACUCACCGGCACGCUGGGUGCACUGGACGCUGCGGCGCUGCCGGCCUUGGCCGCGCUCGAUCUCAACAACAACAACCUCACCGGCGCCAUCCCGGCAAGCCUCUCGCAGCUGCGGUCCCUCGUCAAGCUCGACCUUGGCAACAAUGGCUUCAAUAG